UUCAAACAAAAAAUGCAUUAGCGGAAACAUACACAAACGGCUUACACGAGGGUAAACAAUAGCCAUUAGUGAAAGAAAGGAAAACUAAACAUUCAUUUGUACUAUGAUUCGUUUUUGAUCAUAUACAUUGCAUUCAUCUUGUUCAUUUUCGAAUUCCCUACAUGUCACUUCAUCAUUUCUUUCUUACAUCACAUUUACCACAAAAUACACAUUACAUUCUUUUCUUUACAUUACUAGUUAUCAUAUACAAAAGAUGAACAUA
rnacentral:lncRNA from 1 species